rnacentral:tRNA from 1 species
GGCGGCGUAGCUCAGCUGGCUAGAGCGUACGGUUCAUACCCGUAAGGUCGGGGGUUCGAUCCCCUCUGCCGCCAUCA